AAAGGAACUGCCACAGGUCAUGCCCAAAACAGACCUGACUACACAUUCAUCACCAUAUCGUUCGGGUUUGUGGAUCUGAGCAAAGGAAAGAAAAAGAACAAAAAGCCCAUUGAUUUGUUCACUCAAAUAAUGAAACAGAUGGCUGUUGGAAAGGGUAAAGGUCAAACCUUCCCUGUUGAAUAAAAUUCAAGUGAGGACACCAUAAGGAGGAUGGAGCCUGGAUUUAUCGCUGCUUGCCUAAUCGCAUACAGGCAGGAGGGGAGAAGGAGAAGAUUGCAACAGAAGU